AACGAACGCUGGCGGCAUGCUUUACACAUGCAAGUCGAACGGUAACAGGCCGCAAGGUGCUGACGAGUGGCGAACGGGUGAGUAAUGCAUCGGAACGUGCCCAGUCGUGGGGGAUAACGCAGCGAAAGCUGUGCUAAUACCGCAUACGAUCUAUGGAUGAAAGCGGGGGACCGUAAGGCCUCGCGCGAUUGGAGCGGCCGAUGUCAGAUUAGGUAGUUGGUGGGGUAAAGGCCUACCAAGCCGACGAUCUGUAGCUGGUCUGAGAGGACGACCAGCCACACUGGGACGGAGACACGGCCCAGACUCCUACGGGAGGCAGCAGUGGGGAAUUUUGGACAAUGGGCGCAAGCCUGAUCCAGCAAUGCCACGUGCAGGAAGAAGGCCUUCGGGUUGUAAACUGCUUUUGUACGGAACGAAACGGUCUGGGUUAAUACCCUGGGCUAAUGACGGUACCGUAAGAAUAAGCACCGGCUAACUACGUGCCAGCAGCCGCCGUAAAAC
rnacentral:rRNA from 1 species